rfam:Ovis aries breed Texel chromosome 14, whole genome shotgun sequence.
UCUCUGAUGUCUCAGGUGGUAAAGAAUCUGCCUGCAAUGCAGGAGACCCAGGUUCAAUCCCUGGGUUAGGAA